CCGUGGGAAAACACCCUACCUUUUCCACUGUGUAAUAAACGAGAAGAAAGGGAACCGAGGGGCCUAAUUUUUAAUAAUCUUAUAAUAAGAAGCCAACAAUUUAAGCCUUGAUGUCUUUGUUCGCUUCCCAUUUUGCCUAUCAUGAAUAGUAGAGCCGCCAUGCGCACUGCAAUUGCGGUAAAGGUCUAAUGUGCCCUCCUCUCCCCUGCAAGAUUAGAGAUGUGCACGUGGAAGCCUUCCCACGUAAUCGAUACAUGAAGUCGCGCUUCACAAUUCUCGUAGCGAUUGGUUGAAUUUCCCUUUCUCAUGCACCCGAGGAACGCCCAGUUGUGUCGCGGCUGUCACCCGACCUAGCGAUCAUUCGCAGCUUUUUCGACUGGGGAAAGGCUGCUUCCAAGUCCUUCAACUCGGUUCUCCGUACAGUACCAAAUCCAAGCGGCAGUCUCUGGACAGAGAAGUGUACGCCGCCACCUUACAGAGCGAACUUCACUUCAUUGAAUUCUCAGGUUCGACUCGAACGACACCACGAUGCAGCCAAUUUCCGCCAUCGCCAUGAAGUUCCUCUUGUUCGCAGCCAUAUUGGCCGCGAUACUGCUGCUUGCCCAAGCGCAAAGUGGCGACAUCAUACGUGGUGGAGGAGGAGGACCCAAACGCACUUGAGUCUGCGACAACAAUCGCGCUCUGCAAUUUAACAGAGCUCUACUAGCGGCGCCACAAAUAACGACACAAGGAUGCCUCACCCGACAUCAGUACAGCACUCCAUGCAGUAGCACCCUGGCUGGCACUGAAUGCGCCCAAUAAAUCUUUUUAAUACUAGGAA